rnacentral:rRNA from 1 species
GAUGAACGCUAGCUACAGGCUUAACACAUGCAAGUCGAGGGGAAACGGCAUCGAAAGCUUGCUUUUGAUGGGCGUCGACCGGCGCACGGGUGAGUAACGCGUAUCCAACCUGCCCAUCACUUGGGAAUAACCUUGCGAAAGUAAGACUAAUGCCCAAUGACAUCCCACGAAGGCAUCAGAAUGGGAUUAAAGAUUUAUCGGUGAUGGAUGGGGAUGCGUCUGAUUAGCUUGUUGGCGGGGUGACGGCCCACCAAGGCAACGAUCAGUAGGGGUUCUGAGAGGAAGGUCCCCCACAUUGGAACUGAGACACGGUCCAAACUCCUACGGGAGGCAGCAGUGAGGAAUAUUGGUCAAUGGGCGAGAGCCUGAACCAGCCAAGUAGCGUGCAGGAUGACGGCCCUAUGGGUUGUAAACUGCUUUUAUAAGGGAAUAAAGUGGGUCACGUGUGACUUUUUGCAUGUACCUUAUGAAUAAGGACCGGCUAAUUCCGUG